rnacentral:lncRNA from 1 species
AAAACAUUUUGUUGCCCUUUCCCCCACUAACGUCAAUACAUCCAAAGCGAAGCCACAAAAUAAGGCUCAAUCAGAUACCCCAAAUAAGGCUCCUAUUCUCUUUCAUUUUGAACACAGAGGAUAAAACUCCCCAACCCAGAUGCUCUCCCCAAAUCCCUAAAUCCAACGUCAGUGAUUUUUGCUAUGUAAGUUUUUUUGACGCCUUUUUUUUAAUCUUUUUCUACUAUCCUUGAUUGUGUUAAUAUCUGUUCUUCAAUUAGAAGAUCGUCUUGGUUUUUGUCGAUCAUUUUGGUAUUAUUAUUACCCUUUCUCUCUAUUUCUUUCUUGGUAUUUGAUAAUGGAUGCUUAGAUAUUAUUUUUACCGUUGCUUUUAUUUUGUUAAACAUCUUGUCUUAUUGUUUAGUUCCUUUACUUUGUUCAUCUGUUUGGUGCUUGUUAUUGAUAUUGCUGGAAUGGUUAAAGUUUGGAUCUUUUUUACAUUAUCUUUGUGGAAUUUAUUCUGAUAUGAUAAUAGAUGCUUAGAUAUUUUUAUCGUAGCUUUUAUUUUGUUGAACUACAUAUCCUAGUGUCUAGUCCCAUUACUCUGUUCCAUAUGUUUGGUGCUUGUUUUUGUUGUUGUUGAUGCUGGUAUGAUUAAAGGUUGAAUCCUUUUUUACAUUUUUGUGGAAUUUUGUGUUAUAUGAUCUAUAUGUACCAUGAAAACAACUUCUUAUAGAAAUGCAGCGUGCAAUAGGCCCUUGUGGUCCAGCCUUUCCUCGGACCCCGCACAUAGCGGGAGCUUAGUGCACCGGGCUGCCCCUUUUUAUUUUUUAUGAUCUAUAUGUAAGAGUUAUACUCGAAUUGCUUGAAAAGCUGCAUGCUUUUGACGGCUUUUUCAACAACAAUUUUUGGGCUUGUUCUGCUUUGUCUUUAAAGUUUCUACCAUGUUGGUUUGAAGAAAUAUAUUGGUUUGAAGAAUUAUCUCUGUGCCAUCUGCUUGGUGCUUGUUAUUGUUAUGGUUAAAGUUUGGAUAUUUUUACAUGUCUUUUUGGAAAUUGUUGUUGUAUGAUCUUAUGUGUAAAAGUUCCACAUGAAUGUGCUUGCAAAGCUGCCUGCCUGCUCUCACCAAAUAAUUUUUGAGCUUAUUCUGAUUUACUACUAAAGAUAUUGUGUUGUUGGUUUGAAGAUCUAUCUAUGCUUAUUGGUGAUGAGUAUAUUUACUUAAGUUGGGAAAACCAUUAUUGCUUCAUAUGCUUUCUCAAAGAAAACCUUCAGUCUUGAAACUCUUGAUCUUUCUACUAUUGUUUGACCUUUAAGUACUGCUUUUCUAAAUGCAUAUCAGUUUUCUUUGAAAAUGCAAACUUUGAUUGACUAUAGUGCAUUACUGGUCCCCUACCAUCUAUUGAUAUGUUGUUUAACAUAAUUAUCAAUUAUCUGUCUCUAUGGAUUUACUUUUCUUGCUUUUCUCAACUUUCUUCAUUGUUUGCAAGUGAAAUUGGAAAAAGAUAAUUGAGCCAAUUCUUAGCAUAUAUACUAAUUUUGCCUUUUUCAUAGAAAUGCUACUUCAACUGGGUCCUUUCACAAUUUUGCUUUCAUCUGUUGGGAACUAAGACAGUUGGCUACUUAUGUUAUGCUGAUGCUGAAUAGUACUCAUUUUGUUUGAUUUUACCUAUUAUAUUUAGCCCACUUUCUUUUUGCAUCUCCACACCAUUUAAGAAAGAUUGACAAUGCUACACUGAAGGGUUUAAGUUAUGUAAUUUACCUCUGAAUAUUUUUAUUCAAAUUAUUAAAAAAUCAAUUACACGUGAUUGUCCAAUUAUUUUAAUCAUAAGAGUUAUAUCCGGGGUGUGAAAAUUUCAGUGAACUAAGUUUUACUAUUCAAUUGUACUUGCUUAAAUCCUUGCAUGGGUUCAGUAAUGUGGCUUUCUCGGAUUUGUUAGAGUUUAUAAAAUUACCAAGAACGUCGUUACACGAAUUCAACGUCUCAACCCCGAUUUGAGACUUGAUCCUCACAUACUAAUCUUCUGUGCUCGUGCACCUGGAGAAGCUUCCUCUCCACACCAAGCUGAUAUUCAACCAAUCAAUUUUCCAUCUGAUGGUAGUAACAAUCAAGGUCAGUCCAUACCAUAUGUUACACGUCUUCUCUUUCCUCUUCUUCUCCUUUUUUUUUGUUGCUUAUUCUACCACUGCGCUCUCUCUCUCUCUCUCUCUCUCUCUCUCUCUGGCAAUGUUUGUUUUACUAGUUUUAAAGGAGAUUUAUAGUGGAGAAAGAGGGGUUGUUUGUGGAGUCAUUUUAUGGGAGUGUAGUUGAGGCAUUGGUUUACUUGACAUUAUUUGACUGUAGUUGAGGCGUUGUAGCAUAUAUGAAUCUGAUAUGUCUUCUCCGACAAUUUGGAAAUAGAGGAAUUGAAGAAUCUUCAGGGAGGGAAAAGGAACCUAGGGAGCAUAAACUAUAAAAAGUUAGUUUCUGUUUCUUUUAAGGUGUAAAGUAAACUAGUAUUAUCUUUCAUAGAUAAUUGGGUUAACUUGGUGAAAGAUCAUGGUUAAUUCGUGUAGGGUUUGGAAAAUUCUUUUGGCAUUGUGUCAGUGCAUUAUUAAUGAAAUUAUCCUGAUCUAAAGAAGAAACUUAAAGCCCAAAAUGAAGUAAAGAUGUUUGCAGAUGGGCUGACUUUCUUGUGAAAAAUGGAAAUUCUAUCAAAAUUAUGUGGUUUUACUUUGAUUAAUAAAGUAUUUCUGAAAUAAAAUUGAGGUAUUAGUGGACUACAUAUUGGUUCUAUUUUUCCAUGUUCUUUUUUGGGAACUUAGAGUUACACACCAAUAAGAUGGAAGGAUUUGAUAUUGCACCCAUAAACUCAGUAGAAUUUGAAAAAAAAAAACUUUAUGUAAGUAGGAUGUCAUUUUGUAUUUUUGGUUGUGCUUUGUGAUGCCUUUUGGUCAUCCUCAGGCACAUGUCAUCUUCAUCAUGUUACUUACAUGCUUAUGUAGAUCAAAAUCUAUGCUUGUUGAAAAUACAUUUGGCAAAAUGUGGAACAGAGUUAUACUAGAGAGGACUAAGCCUUAGCGGAACUGUCUUUUUUUUUUUUUUUACACUUUUGGAGGACCUACAGUAUUUCAAUUAGUAUUAGUGACUAAUGCUUUUUGUUGAGAAUCAUAUUUUUGUCUAAAGCUCUCUAUUUUCUGUAUACAAUCCUAUAAGCAUGUUUUGCCUAUCACAUUAAUAAAAGAAUUAACUUCAUUUUAAAGAAAAGCAUUUUGGCAAAAGAACUUUCAGAACACACUUUAGACAUAUACUAUCCAAAUAAAAAUACUAGGUUCAGUCAUUUGGAAGUAAAAGAAGAAAAAAUGAUUGUGAUUGCGUGAAGUUCGAAGGCUUAGGAGUCGGCUAUUUUGCUGCAUUUUUGGGUGAUUUUUACAGCUGUUUUGCUGCGUUUUUUUGUUGUUACUACACUUGCAUUAGGUCCGGCAUUUAGAAGUUUAAUCCUUUAUGAUAAACAUUUAUGCAAGAGAGUAGUUCAUCGGCAAAUUCAAAUUGAAUUGUAUGAUGAUUACAGUCUGAGAUUCGUAUUAACGAAAUAUGUCGUUUAGUGUACUCAGUUACCUCUCCUACUUGUCAUGUGUUUUGUCUUUUUGUUGAGAUUUGUCAAGACCCAAAACAACCGUCGUGAUGACGCAUAUCGUGGAACUAGGCAAGCCAAUUACUCAACUAUUCCAACAUAACCAAAAGCUUUGAAACAAAAUACGGAAGCAGUUAAUAUUUAAGGAAAAUCUUUAAAACAUAAAUAAAUACGCAACCCAAUACAAUCUCUCCCUAAACCGGGAUGUUACCGAGUACAUGAGCUUCUACAAUGGAAGAUAGUCAAAUACAGUGUCUAAAGAGUAAAAAAAACUGAAAUACAAGUAAAGAUAAUGAAGGAGGGUCAAGGUCUGCGAAAGUCAUGCAGCUACCUCGAUAGUCUCUCGAGAUCAUGACUCCACAAUGAGCAACCGCCGUGACUGGAAGCACCUGGAUAUCCACACGAGGUGCAGGGUGUAGCGUGAGUACAACCAUUGUCACGAUAGAAAAUGCUGAAGCUGCAAUGGUCCUACCUUAAAGGACUCCGAAGAUCACAGUACAAUUGAAACCUACGGUGAUAGUUCAGACUUACCAGUAACAGCCUACUGCUGCUACCAUGGAUGAAAAGGAUCGGGAAUACAAAGCAGUCCCGUGGACAUAUCAACAAAAAGGGAAAGCCAAUAUGACGGAUUCCGCAGCGGCUCACGGCAUGACUAGGCCAGGGAGGUGUUACGCUCUUGAGGAUAUAAACCGAGGGAAUCUAGGAAGGGUACGGAUUCAGAGAAGAAAUAUAACAGAUCUGAAGGCCGUAGAAUUUUGGAAGAAGAUGUCAACCAAAGAAUACUCCGUUAGGAGCAACUGAAGAAAACCCCGCACAAAUAUCAAUCAUGGAUUUACUGAUGAGUUCUGACAGUCAUAAAGAUGCCCUGAUGAAAGUGUGAAGUGGGGUGAGCGUACUGAGCAAUAACAUAAGUGAGGCACUGGUAACAACAAUUGGGAAAAUGGUCGAAGCAAAUAUGAUCACUUUCCGAAGAGAUGAGCUUCCUAUCUAAGGCGUGGGUCAGAACAAAACUCUACACAUCACUGUCAAAUGUGGAGAUAAGGUGGUGUCCCCAGUACUGAUUGAUGGAGGAUCAGGAUUCAAUAUCUGCCCGCUCUCUACUCUGUGAGAGUUGCAUAUCCAUCUAAGAGAAGUCAAGGAAUGUCAUGCGAGGUUAAGGGCUUUUGACGGGUCGCAAAAGGAUGUCAUUGGAGAAAUUUAUUUGGCACUGCAGAGUGGACCAAUUGAGUUUCCCAUACUAUUCCAAGUGAUGUAUAUUUCAUCUUCAUAUAACUUAUUACUAGGAAGACCUUGGAUACACAUGGAGGGGGCAGUACUAUCUACCCUACACCAAUGUAUGAAGUUCGAAUGGGGGUGUCAACAGAUCGUAGUCCACGACGAAUGGAGCCAAUCAGCUUAUCUGGAACACACAGUCCCGUUCAUAGAAGGAUUAGACGGGGUCGCUUUCCAUGCAGUAGAGUUCAUGCAGACCACCGAAAUAGAAGAGACUAAGCAAAACCUAAGAAUGCAGUCAUCAUAUAGAUCAAAGAUGGCCAUGAGGAAAAUGAUGAAAUACAGAUACAGUCCAAGAACCGAGCUGGGAGCCCAAUCAGACAGGAUAAUAGAGCUGAUUGAGCCAUAUGGGCAGAAAGGAAGAGUCGGCCUACGGUAUCAGCCAUCGACUGAGAAGGCGUGUAUCGGUAGCUUCGGGAAAAAGGAGAUUUUAUGCCAGAGCGUUUAUCGGGUACGUGUUAGAGCUCAGUGCCAGAUGACGACAUCGUCGAUGGAAUGGAAAGGCUGUUCGUGACCAUACUUGAGGAAUGUUGUGAAGGAAUUUAUAUUAUGUCACCGACCAUUCGGGAAUCUGAACUAGGAGAGGACUUGCAGAAUUCGACUGUUAGCCCGUCAUUGGUUCGCCAAGAGUCUUGGUAGUGUGGAAUUAUAAAUGUUUUGAAAAGAGCGCACGGUCAAUUGAGGCUCGGACCGUGUCUGUAGUUUUUUGUUAUUUGCCUCUUUGAACGCUCAGACGUUGCUCUUUUGAUGAAAGAAAAGAAUUGCUUUCUUAAAAUUAUUGCAAAUUUAUUUAUUGCUUCAUUUAUACUUUGUUUUUCUUUUCAGUAAUCAAAACGAUAAAAACCUGCAUUCGCGAUUAUGACAUAUAACGAAACCCUCGAGCAAAGCGAUCCAACUUACGAGGAGUACGAUGAGAGUAUGAUGCCAGAUAAUCUCCCAAGAGAGAUCGAACAACUGGAAAGCCAGAGAAAGCCUAAGCUUGAAGAGACAGAAGUGGUCAACCUCGGAAGCGAAGAAGAUAUAAAAGAAACCCGAAACAACAUCCAUCUAGAAGUAGAGCAGAAUGAAGAAUUGGUUAAGCUCCUCCGAAGUACAUUGAUAUAUUCACAUGGUCGUAUGAUGACAUACCUGGGUUAAGUACUGAUAUUGUUCGCACCGAUUGCCUAUCGAUCAUGCUAGACCACCAGUCAAACAAAAACCCAUAAAAUUCAAACUAGACUUGAGUUUAAGGAUAAAGGAAGAAGUAACCAAGCAAAUAGAGGUGAAUGUAGUGAGGGCAAUAAAUUAUCCCACAUGGUUGGCGAAUAUCGUCCCAGUGCCCAAGAAGGAUGGAAUGAUCAAGAUAUGUGUAGAUUAUCGAGAUUUCAACAAAGCCAGCCUAAAAGACAAUUUCUUUUUACCUAAUAUACAUAUCCUCAUCGACAAAUACGUGAAGCAUGAACUGCAUUCGCUCGUGGAUUGUUUCUCUGGGUACCACCAGAUCCGGAUGCACGAAAAAGAUGCAGAAAAGACAGAUUUUACUACACCUAGGGGAGUCUACUGCUAUAGAUUCAUGCCCUUCGGUCUCAAAAAUACUGGCGCUACUUACAUGAAGGCCAUGACAACCCUCUUUCACGACAUGAUUCACAAAGAGAUCGAGGAAUAUGUGGAUGACAUCAUCAUCAAGUCUCGGAAGAGUUCAAAACAUUUUGAUGAUAUUAGGAAGUUUUUCGAACGUUUGUGGAGGUAUAGUUUGAAGUUGAAUCCUGCAAAAUGCGCAUUCGGAGUCCCUGUUGGAAAAUUGCUAGGUUUCAUCAUUAGCAAAAAAGGGAUAGAGUUAGAUCCCUCAAAGAUCAAAGCUAUUCAAGAGUUGCCACCGCCCAAAAGUAAGAAGGAUGUGAUGAGUUUCAUGGGUAGAUUGAAUUACAUCAGCCGUUUCAUAGCCGAGUCUACAGUAAUUUGUGAACCUAUCAUUAAGCUGUUGAAGAAACAUGCUGCCACAAAAUAGACAGAAGAGUGUCAGAAAGCCAUCAACGGAAUUAAGGAGUAUUUGUCAAAUCCGCUAGUGUUGGUUCCUCCCGGGCCUAGGAAGCCACUGUUGCUGUGCCUGCCGGUCUUGGACAAUAUUUUGGAUGUGUUGGGACAACAUGACGAAAGCGGAAGACAGAGUAGGCCAUCUACAACUUAAGCAAGAAAUUCACACCGUGUAAGGCCAAAUACACUUUGAUUGAGCGCACUUACUGUGCUUUGACUUGGAUCGCCCAGAAACUGAGGCAUUACAUGUUAGCAUACACCACGCAUUUGAUAUCCUGACUCGACCCGCUCAAGUAUAUCUUUCAGAAGCCAAUGCCUAUAGGAAAACUAGCUAAAUGGAAAAUUCUUCUCAGCGAAUUUGACAUUGUGCACAUAACACAGAAGGCCAUCAAAGGAAAAGCUUUAGCCAACCACCUUGUAGAGAAUCCAGUGGACAAGGAUUAUGAGUUGCGCACUGUGUACUUUCUCGACGAGGAAGUAUUGUUUGCCGGAGAAGAUAUUGCAGAGUCAUACCUUGGAUGGAGAAUGUUCUUCGACGGAGCGGCAAACUUCAAAGGAGUGGGAAUUAGGGAUGUCCUAAUUUCGGAAUCAGGACAAAACUAUCCAGCAUCAGCAAAGAUAAGGUUCCCUUGCACCAAUAAUAUGGUCGAAUACGAAGAGUGCAUCAUUGGGAUCAAGAUGGCAGUUGACAUGAACAUCAAAGAGCUCUUGGUCAUAGGGGAUUAUGAUCUAUUAAUACAUCAAGUCCAAGGGGAGUGUUCUACCAAGAAAGUUAAGAUCCUUCCAUACCUGCACUGUGUAAAAGAGUUAUGCAUGAAGUUCACAAAGCUCGAGUUUAAGCACGUUCCCAAGAUCCAUAAAGAGUUUGUCGAUACUCUUGCAACCCUAUCAUCCAUGAUUUAGCAUCUAGAUAAGAAUUACAUCGACCCUAUUGAGGUAAAAACCAGAGAUCAACAUGCAUACUACUUUCAUAUAGACGAAGAGCCAGAAUGUUGACCGUGGUACCACGAAAUGAAAAGGUUCCUCGAAACAUGAGAGUACCCAGAGAGUGCUACAGAUAGUCAAAAGUGAGCGCUCAGAAGGCUGGCAAAUCACUUUUUCCUCGACGAGGAAGCCCUGCAUAAAAUGACCCCAAACUUUGGUCUGUUGAGAUGUGUAGAUGCCGCUGAAGCAACCAAAUUGUUAGAAGAAAUACAUAUGGGAACAUGCAGACCCCACAUGAACGGCUUCACCUUAGCCAAGGGGAUUUCACGGGGAUUUCAUCUGGGUUCCGCCUAAUGAGUUCAAUGUAAUGGGUUCGCGUUGGCCGCUCGCCGCUGUGAUUGGACCUAUAGAGCCCGCCACAUAAAAUGGGCACCGUUUCAUCUUAGUAGUCAUUGACUGCUUCACCAAAUGAGUCGAAGCAUCUACCUACAACACAGUCAUAAAGAAAGUGCUGGCAGAUGUUGUUCGUAACAACAUCGUCUGCCGAUUUGGGAUACCUGAGUCAAUCAUCACUGACAAUGCAGAUAAUGUCAACAGUGAUCUCAUGAGAGAAAUUUGUGAGAAGUUCAGAAUUGUCCAGCGCAACUCUACAGCCUACAGCUACAAAUGAAUGGAGCAGUUGAACCAGCCAACAAAAACAUCAAAAGGAGUCUGCGGAAGAUAGUGGACAAUAAUAGGCAAUGGCACGAGAAGUUAUCCUUCUCCUUACUAGGUUAUCGAACCACCACGAGGAUAUCCACUGGGGAAAUGCCAUACCUAUUGGUAUAUAGAACCGAAGUAGAGCGUUCUCAAGGCUGUUAGAAAAGUAUGGAGUUCGCCAUAAGGUUGCCACACCUUACCACCCGCAAAUGAACGGGCAAGUGGAAGUGUCCAAUAGGGAAAUCAAAAGUGUCCUGACCAAGACAGUGAAUGCGACUCGGACUAAUUGGGCAAGGAAGUUGGAUGAUGCGUUAUGGGCUUACCGCACAACAUUUAAAACUCUAAUUGGUAUGUCUCUGUAUAAGUUGGUGUUUGGAAAAGCAUGCCAUCUUUCGGUGGAGCUUGAGCAUAAAGCCUUAUGGGCACUGCGGCAGUUGAAUUUGGAUAUGGAAACCGCGGGCACAAGUAGACCUACAGAAUUACAUGAACUCGAGGAGUUCCCAUUCCAGGCAUUUUAGUGUCACGCCCCGACCUCGGUCGAGCAAGACUGUACAAUACCUUCUACCCAAACUUACUCAUAAAUAAAGAGAAGAUCUAUUUCAUUAAUUAGACAGUGAGGAGACUCAUGUGAACAACAACACCAAUUCAUUAUCAGCAGUUUCAUCAGCUAUAAGUUAUAAAAUACAUACACUUUCAUAGUUUUGUGCGGAACGUGUGAUGCAGUUACCAAAAUUACUAGUUUAUCUUUCUCAACACCGACAUACCACCCACACAAUAUCUACGGAGCCUCUAAUAGAUACAAAAGAGUAUGAUGAUAGUGCCGACAAUAAGGCCCCGGAUAUACCUCAAAACAUAAUACAUAAGGACAAAAUUUAUACGAUCCCGAAUGAGGUGGGGCUCACCAAGUCAGCUGGGGAGAGGGUGUACCGCUAUCAACGAUCAAAGCCGCCUGCUGUGGAACCACCUGCAUCCGUUUAAGACGCAGCGCCCCCGGCAAAAGGGACGUUAGUACAUGUGGAAUAGUACUAGUAUGAAUGAGUAAGCACCCUCUCAAUAGAACGAAUGAUGAAACAAGAAUGAACAAUCAUAAAAUCAAUGGGAAGUCUCAAACAAUACCCAAAACAUCAAGUUAGGAAUAAGACAAGGUUUCAAGUGAUUUCCAUAUUUUAAGUUGGGAGACCUUUAGUAUCGAUAUUCCAUCGUUUACAAUUUCCAACAUAGUCACCACCAUGUCUGCGGCAUGGCGUCUGAUCACAACCCGAUUGGCUAGGCCGUCUCAUACGAGACAUCAACCACAAUCACAAUUUCAAUUUCAAUUUCCAACACAAUCACCACCAUGUGUGCGGCAUGGCGUCCGAUCACGACCCGAUCGGCUAGGCCGCUGCAUCCGAGACAUUGUCCUCUUCUAUCAAUCAUCCCAUUUCAUACCUCUUUCACAUCUUUUUAUUUCAUUGGCACUAGUGGUCACAAUUGUAAUAUCCCCCUUUUGUGUGGCGUGUUGGCCAUAUUUCAUAUUUUAUAUUUUGUGCUUACCUUUUCACUUUCAACCAUCAUCAUUGAUUUUCAACAAGGCGUUUACGUUCAAGUCACUAAGCAUACAAGUUAGCAAACAAGAGUCUUAAGUGCAUUGAGAUUUCUUACACAAUUGGCAUUCGCUAUAAUUUGAAACGCAACAUGAGGCCAUAACAUUUAGCUAAGCAACCAAUAUUUUGAACACAUUACCAAAUAGUAGUACAACUUAACAAGAGCAUUGGGAAUACAUAUUGAACACAAAAGUCUUUUGACACAAAGUUUAUUCGGAAAAAUCGAUUCAUAAUGAGUAACUUGGGAAUUACAAUGACAUUGUGCGGUUCAAUUCUAUGGGAAGAGUUUAGCCAACAUACCUCACUUGAUCUUCCUUAAAUACUAAAAUGUUCCGAAAAUUAUAGCAACUUCGAUCUAUUUCAGAAUUAUAACAAAUUGAACCAAAAAUUAGGAAGAUGAUCAUGGUUCCAGCUCAUUUGAGCGUUUUAUCAAACACUAGGUGUGCAUUAAGAUUUCAAGGCCCUACAAUGGUGGAUUCCAUCAUCCACCCGUUAUCUACCAUUUUUAGCCCAAUAAUCGUCCUACACCCUUAGAUAACACAUGCAUGCAAGAGGGACAACUACCAUACCCAAGAAUUUCCUUACUAAUUACCUAUUUUUAGUUAAAUUUCGAAAUUGAGGGUUAGGGUAUAGAAUCUUACCUCUAGGAUGAAGACCUAGUAUUUUUUCCUUGUUAAUCUUCCAAGAUUUGAGUAAGAAUUGAAGAACAAUUAGUUGAGGAACUCUCUCCCUCUCUAGAGCACUUUCUCACUCUCAAAAUGUCAGGUUCUUAUUUAAGAAACGGUCCAUGGAGUCUAUAUAACGAAAUGGGGUCGGGUUAUAAAAACCAAAAAAAUGAAGCUCUGAAACACAAUCUGCGGUCGCAUAAUAAUUUUGCGGUCCGCGAAAUGGACCGCGAAAUGGCCCUCUGGAACUGGGCAUCGCUGCCUGGGUAUGCGGCUGUUCUGCGGUCCGCAUAUCGAUUAUGCGGUGCAAAGCGGACCGCAGAAUCUCCUCCCAGAAUUCCUCAUGUCGAUCCUGCGAUGCAAUCUGUGGACCGCAUAAUGGCCCACAAAUUUUGCUUCAGUUUCAACUUCACUCUGUGGCCAUUCUGCGACCGCAUAGUGGGCCGCAGAAAUGUUUUUUUCUGCCAACAUUUUCCUUUAACUCCCUAGCGCACUGUUCAACCCAAAAAGUCCGUACCGCGGCGAGCAAGCUCGUUGCGAAGAACUUCUACCAUCACCAAACAUAUUAGCCUACCUCGUUACCACGGAACCUCGGGUUUUAGGUGAAAUUUUAUAGGGACUUAUAUCCUCCCCCACUUAAGAUCAUUCAUCCUCGAAUGAGGGUCUAAAUCCGUCAUUAGUACUCAACAUGACCCAGCUGUUACUUCACACACACUAGUAGUCCCAAUUUUUGACUAACUCCCCAAAUUCCCAAAAUGUUCGGCAGAGUUUCCCUUGUAACUGGCCUAUCCACCUGUCAGAGAAUCCCAGAAACCAAUCCUAACAACAUGUACAUAAUCCAACGAUGCAACAUAUUAUGAAACAACACCAACCGUGGCCUCAUAAGCAAUAUAUUCCCAGAAAGGAAAUAUCCUGCCUGUACAAGUGAUACCUAGUUCAUAGGAAUUAAUUUCAUGGAAACUAUUACAUAGCUAUUCAAAUAAAUGAGGGUACUUCUUUUUCAUUUCUUCCUCGGCCUCCCAGGUGGCCUCUUUAACCUGUUGGUUUCGCCAUAACACUUUCACGGAGGCAAUUUCUUUAUUUCUUAGAUUUCGGACUUGCCUAUCAAGAAUGGCAACUGAAAUUUCUUCAUAGGUCAGUUCUUCAUAUACCUCAAUAGUCUCUACUAGCACAAUAACCGACGGAUCUCCAACCACCUUCUUUAACAUAAACACAUUGAAUACCGGGUGCACUAAUGACAUCUCAGGUGGUAGCUCAAGCUUGUACGCCACCUGACCAAUCCUUUGAAUGUUUAUGUACGGUCCGACAUACCCCGGACUCAAUUUCCCUUUCUUACCAAACCGCAUUAUACCCUUCAUGGGGGAAACCUUCAAGAAUACCCAAUCAUCUUCUUUGAACUCCAAAUAUCUGCGACGAACGUCCUUAUAGGACUUUUGACGACUCUGAGCUUUUUUCAACCGAUCCUUAAUGACCUUAACCUUCUCCAUAGCCUGGUGCAUGAGGUCUGGUCCUAUCGAUUCUGCUUCCCCAAUAUCGAACCACCCAAUAGGAGAUCUACAUCUCCUACCAUAUAAAGCCUCGAAUGGUGCCAUCUGAAUACUAGCAUGGUAACUGUUGUUGUAGGCAAAUUCUAUGAGUGGCAAAUGAUCGUCCCCGCUGCCCUUGAAGUCAAGAACACAAGCGCGCAACAUAUCCUCAAGCGUCUGAAUAGUCCGCUCUGCCUGCCCGUCAGUCUACGGGUGAAAGGUUGUACUAAGAUUCACCUGAGUACCCAAACCUUGCUGAAAUUUCUUUCAAAAAUUAGCCGUGAACUGUGCCCCUCGAUCCGAAAUGAUAGAAACUAGAGUGCCAUGCAACCUGACUAUUUCCUUGAUAUACAACUGAGCAUAUUGUUCCGCUGUGUCGGUAGAUUUAACUGGCAAGAAGUGUGUUGACUUCAUGAGUCGAUCCACAAUCACCCAAAUCGAGUCGAAUUUGCGAGGAGUGCGAGGUAGUCCUACCACAAAGUCCAUGUUAAUCAUUUUCCACUUCCACAUUGGAAUUUCAAUGCUCUACGCCAACCCACCGGGCCUUUGGUGUUCGGCCUUCACUUGCUUACAAUUGGGACAUCUUUCCACAAAGUCCGCUAUGUUCAUCUUCAUAUCGUUCCACAAAUAGACUUCUCUAAGAUCAUGAUACAUCUUUGUAGAGCCAGGUGCACGGAAUACCUAGAAGUUUGAGCCUCAGUCAUGAUUCUUUAACGGAGAUCAUCAACAUUUGGAACACAUAGUCGCCUUUGGAACCUUAGUGUACCAUCAUCCAUGCCAAGAGAAAAGGCCAUGGUCUUAUGUUUUUGAACCCCCGCCUUCAAUUGUACCAACAAUAGAUCGUUGAAUUGCUUCUCUUUGACUUCCACCACAAGCGACGAUUCAGCCCUAUUUUGCACACUCACCCCUCCUUCACUAGAGUCCGCAAGGCGAACUUCUAAACUAGCCAACCGAUGAACCUCCUUAGCCAACGGCCUUUGAUAUGCCUCCAAGUAAGCAAAACUGCCCAUAGAUUUUCGGCUAAGAGUAUCCGCCACAACAUUGACCAUCCCCGGGUGAUACAGGAUGUCGAUGUCAUAAUCCUUGAGUAACUCAAGCCAUCUUCUUGUUACACCCCAUAUUUUCGUAUGUGGAAGUUCGCCAUAAAUAAAUUGAUGAAAGCUCGAAAAUGAGAUGUUACAUCCCGCAUUUUUUUUGUACAUUAAAGUUUUGUCGUAAGUUAAUCGAUGUAAGCUCGAGAAUGAGAUUAUUUUGAGAUUAUAAGUAUUAUGUUAUUUCAAACAAGGGAUAAGUAAAUUCAUGAAGGCGAGAGGGUAAGCGAAUCGAAGAAAAUAAAUUUCGUCGAAGUUUGACAUUUUGGGAUAUAAUACGGCCCGAGCUAAAAUACCCGAUAUUUAUGGACUAGUGCCAUACAAGGUACCACAUGACCAUGAUAGUAAGAUGUAUAAAGUAUGACAAAAGUGAGUAGUAUUUUAAGUAAUUUGAGAUAAUUCUUAAUUAUGUGGAUUUUUGGUUAAUUGCGGAUUUUUGAUGGAAGAUUAACCAUGUAAUUAAGGAAAUGGGUGGAUAAACUUUGGAUAAGCUUAAAUCCACCCCAACGUGGCAGCAACCCAUGUCUAAAGUAAUGACUAUUGAAUUACAAAACAAGGUGUCAUAUUUAGAGGAAAUUGUUGGCCAAGUAAGCCUUAUAAAGUGGGUCCUACAUCCAUUAUAAUAAAAGACAUCUCUAACAAAGAGAGAUACAUCUCUAACAAAGAGAGAUGAUAUGAAAUGUGAGAUUUCCAUAAGAAAUUUUCAGCAAGGUUCAUUCCCCAUUUCAAAAAUGAAAGUAUACUAUGCACUUAGCCCUAAAAAACAUGGAAAGAAUGACUAUGUUAGUCAUCUUUACAAUUGUAUUCAAUUGAUAUCAAAAAUCCAUUUUUGGAGGAGAUUUUGGAGUUCAUAUGGUACUUUAUGUUAAAAUAGCAACGACAGUUCUUAAAAUUGUGAAGAAAUUCAUACGAAAUUAUACUGCGUAAUAGUGACGGGAUUUUGCGAUUCUAAAGGAGUACGGUGCAACCUUUUCCAAGAAUAUCAUAUGAAUUUUUUCCUACUCCAUGUAUGUUAAGGCUAUCCCUUAUUUCUUUUGGCAUGAUCCAUAUGACACAAACGAAACGAGAAAAUGCACAAUUUUCAUAUACGACUCUAUUCAUAGAAAUAUUAGAGAUGCUUAUGUUCUUGAUUCCCCACGUGUCAUGUUAUUUUAUNNNNNNNNNNNNNNUNAGUCAUUUACUCUAUAUUUCUUCCAUGUCUAUUUUGUACUUAUUUAUGUGCCUUACAUACUCGGUACAUCAUUUGUGCUGACGUCCCUUUUGUCUGGGGACACAACGUUUUAUUUGCUAUCAAAUACACCACCACUUGACACAUUUCAUUUCAUAGACAGGUCGAGAGUCCUCCAAAUAGGCUAUCAGCUCAGCGGAAGGUUUUGCUGCGCUCCAUUUGCUCCGGAGUUGCUUAUGUGGUCAAUAUGAUUAGGACAUGUACUGAUUAGUAUGUCGGGGCCGUGUCCCGACCUUUAUGACAUUUAUGUACUCUUAGAGGUUUGUAGACAUAUGUCGAAUACGUGAAAGAUUGUACGGCCUUGUCGGCCUAUGUUUUGAGUUUAUAAAUGAUCAUGUUGGCCUAUUAGGCCCGUAUGUCACAUGUAUAUGAUGAUGUAAUAAGAAAGAUACGUUACGUUGGUACUCGGUUGAGUAAGGUACCGGGUGCCCGUCGUGGCCCAUCGGUUUGAGUCGUGACACUUCUCUGCCUCAAAUUCAAUUCCUUCUGUUUGAAAAUAUAUUGAAGGCUCUUAUGGUCCGUGAAUACAUCCACAUGGACCCCAUACAAAUAAUGACGCCAAAUCUUCAAUGCAAAGACCACCGCUGCAAGCUCUAAGUCUAUGUGUUGGAUAGUUCUUUUCAUGAUUU